AUUAUUGAGAAGUAAGUAGUUUUAUCCUUUGGAUGUAAAAGGGUCAUCGUAGGGUCGUUGAUUGGUCAUCGAAGGCAACAGUUGUAAGGAUACCUUAGCAUUCGAAAGGACGAUCAUCAUUUAACCGUAGGCCACACCGAAGGGUCAUCGAGGGACAAAAACCAUAUAUUCGAGGCAACAUCCGAGGGACUAUGAUUUAUUUUAUGAUGAUUUAAUCGAAGGGUCUUUGCUAAGUGUAUCCCCACAUUCGCGGGACAUGACCGUAAUACCGUAAUAUCGCAAGGCAAAAGAGAGGUCCAAGAUCACAUAUUUAAAGGCCAUAUUUUAAAGUUAAUUAGGUAAUUAGGAUGAAUCUCCACAUUAGAAUCAAGACAUUAAAAAUAAUACAUUAAAAUUACGACAUUAAAAUUAAUUAAGCAAUUUAGGGUAGAUCUUCACAAAGGUAUCCCACAAAUAAAGUGGAAGACCUAAACAGCAAUCUUUUCCUGGGGUGUGUGAACCUUUGCAACAUUCAGCAAACGAGUUAGAAUACCAAAUCAGGGUGCAAUUGAGGAUUACACCGCAAAACGAACACAGCAGCAUGCAUGUCAGGCAAACAACGCAGAAUUAACAUAGAAUAGAUCAGAUAAGCAUAGGACAUAACAACCAAAAUAUUAGCGACUGCCACGUUCGCCUCUGCCUCGCCUAGCGAAGGCCUAACGAAUAUUCGCUACUUGCUCGCUUAGCGAUGUGCUAGCGAGCGGCUGCGGGUUUUGAAUUUUAGAACAGUAUAAUCUCAGCAUGCUGCAAGCCUUAUGGUAUUCAAUUACAGCAAUAAUAUGGUCAAACAUUCAGGAUAGGCAGACGUACUUAGACUCACAUGCAAAAUCUAACUACAUAUCCAAAAAUUCGAUUAUGAUGCAUUAUGUAUUUAGAGAUUACAACGUGGAAGCAUAAAAC
rnacentral:lncRNA from 1 species